UGCAUGCAUGAUUGAAAGUCGCUUUGGAUAAAAGCAUCUGCUAAAUGGCUUAUU
rfam:Salmo salar isolate Sally breed double haploid chromosome ssa02, whole genome shotgun sequence.